rnacentral:rRNA from 1 species
CCAGACUCCUACGGGAGGCAGCAGUAGGGAAUCUUCGGCAAUGGGGGCAACCCUGACCGAGCAACGCCGCGUGAGUGAAGAAGGUUUUCGGAUCGUAAAGCUCUGUUGUAAGAGAAGAGCGAGUGUGAGAGUGGAAAGUUCACACUGUGACGGUAACUUACCAGAAAGGGACGGCUAACUACGUGCCAGCAGCCGCGGUAAUACGUAGGUCCCGAGCGUUAUCCGGAUUUAUUGGGCGUAAAGCGAGCGCAGGCGGUUAGAUAAGUCUGAAGUUAAAGGCUGUGGCUUAACCAUAGUACGCUUUGGAAACUGUUUAACUUGAGUGCAGAAGGGGAGAGUGGAAUUCCAUGUGUAGCGGUGAAAUGCGUAGAUAUAUGGAGGAACACCGGUGGCGAAAGCGGCUCUCUGGUCUGUAACUGACGCUGAGGCUCGAAAGCGUGGGGAGCAAACAGGAUUAGAUACCCUGGUAGUCCACGCCGUAAACGAUGAGUGCUAGGUGUUGGGUCCUUUCCGGGACUCAGUGCCGCAGCUAACGCAUUAAGCACUCCGCCUGGGGAGUACGACCGCAAGGUUGAAACUCAAAGGAAUUGACGGGGGCCCGCACAAG